rnacentral:rRNA from 1 species
CAGCCGCCGCGGUAAUACAGAGGGUGCGAGCGUUAAUCGGAUUUACUGGGCGUAAAGCGUACGUAGGCGGUUUGUUAAGUCUGUUGUGAAAGCCCCGGGCUCAACCUGGGAAUGGCAAUGGAUACUGGCGAGCUAGAGUGUGUCAGAGGAUGGUGGAAUUCCCGGUGUAGCGGUGAAAUGCGUAGAGAUCGGGAGGAACAUCAGUGGCGAAGGCGGCCAUCUGGGACAACACUGACGCUGAGGCACGAAAGCGUGGGGAGCAAACAGGAUUAGAUACCCCUGUAGUCCCUGUCUCUUAUAC